AAACUUUGCAAUGUGCGAAAGCACGACAAGGUUAAUCCGAGUGAUUUGUGCUAAACGAAUCUUUUGUUAGUCUCUAGAACCACUAACGAAUAAGGGUGGGCA
rnacentral:rRNA from 1 species